CCAGACUCCUACGGGAGGCAGCAGUGGGGAAUAUUGCACAAUGGGGGAAACCCUGAUGCAGCGACGCCGCGUGAGUGAGGAAGUAUUUCGGUAUGUAAAGCUCUAUCAGCAGGGAAGAAAAUGACGGUACCCGACUAAGAAGCCCCGGCUAACUACGUGCCAGCAGCCGCGGUAAUACGUAGGGGGCAAGCGUUAUCCGGAUUUACUGGGUGUAAAGGGAGCGUAGACGGCAUGGCAAGUCAGAUGUGAAAGCCCGGGGCUCAACCCCGGGACUGCAUUUGAAACUGUCAGGCUGGAGUGCAGGAGAGGUAAGUGGAAUUCCUAGUGUAGCGGUGAAAUGCGUAGAUAUUAGGAGGAACACCGGUGGCGAAGGCGGCCUGCUGGACUGUGACUGACGUUGAGGCCCGAAGGCGUGGGGAGCAAACAGGAUUAGAUACCCUAGUA
rnacentral:rRNA from 1 species